UUCUGGAAUUGAAGAUGCGUUUGGUUGCUCCUCUUCCCUUCGUUCCGUUGAAUGUUGUUCUGGUUCUUUCUGAUUUUCCUCAACUUCAGUAACCACAGGUUCACCUUUUACUGUUUCUGUAGGCUCAACUUCAGUAGCCACAGGUUCUUCUUUUACCGUUUCUGUAGCUUGAACUUCAGUAGCCACAGGUUCUUCUUUUACCAUUUCUCUAGGAUCAACUUCAGUAACCACAGGUUUGACUUUUACUGAUUCUGUCAGAUCAACUUCAGUAACCAGGGGUUCUUUUACUGUUUUUGUAAUUUCAACUUCUGUAGCCACAGCUUCUUCUUUUACUGUCUCUGUAGGAUCAACUUCAGUAACUAUAGGUUCGUCUUUUACCGUUUCUGUUGCCUCGAAUUCAGUAGCUGCAGGUUCAUCUUUUACCAUUUCUGUAGGCUCAACUACAGUUGUCACAGGUUCUUCUUUUACGGUUUCUGUAGCUUCAACUUCAGUAGCCACAGAUUCUUCUUUUACUGUUUCUGUAGCUUCAACUUCAGUAGCCACUGGUUCUUCUUUUACUGUUUCUGUAGCUUCAACUUCAGUAGCCACUGGUUCUUCUUUUACUGUUUCUGUAGCUUCAACUUCAGUAGCUGCAGGUUCGUCUUUUACCGUUUCUGUAGCCUCAACUUCAGUUGCCACAGGUUCUUCUUUUACCGUUUCUGUAGGCUCAACUUCAGUAGCCACGGGUUCUUCUUUUACUGUUUCUGUAGCUUCAGCUUCAGUAGCUAGAGGUUCUUCUUUUACCGUUUCUGUAGGAUCAACUUCAGUAACCACAGGUUCGUCUUUUACGGUUUCUGUAACCUUAACUUCAGUAGCUGCAGGUUCUUCUUUUACUGUUUCCGUAGCCUCAACUUCAGUAGCCACAAGUUCUUCUUUUAGUGUUUCUGUAGCCUCAACUUCAGUAACCACGGGUUCUUCUUUUACUAUCUCUGCAGUCGCAACUUCGGUAACCAUGGGUUCUUCUUUCACUGUUUCUGUAGGCUCCACUUCGAUGAUUUUGGUCUCUUCCGAUAUCGCUGCUGCUGUCUUCUCCUCAUUGGCCUCGACUGUAGAUUCAACAAUUGCAAUUGCUUUUGGUUG
rnacentral:lncRNA from 1 species